rnacentral:lncRNA from 1 species
AGUGAACCCCGGCGCCUGCUCCCCGAGCUAGGCCGCCGGCCGCAGUGGCCGAGCCCUCGCGCCUAAGAAGCCGAGCCGGGGCCCACGCUCCGAGAGCCCGGGGUAGGCGCCGGCUCAUUCCUCACUCAGCCCUGGAGCGGCGGGAGGGCCUGGGCGCGCGGGAGCAGCCGCGCCUCGGGCGGGCAGAGGUGCGCGCGCACGCUCCCGGCUCCGCUGCCGCCGCCCCUCCCCCACCCAGCCUGGCUGCCCGGGCUCCGGCCUCGCGCCGCUGCCGGCUCCAGCAGCCCGAAAGCGUACUGCUGCCGCCGCCGUCUGAGCGCGAAAGAAGAGAAGGUCGCCGAUCUGCGCUGCCACGAGAACUUCACCGGUGCCCAGGGCCUUGCCACCGCCAGUUAACGUUUACUGUGAUUCUUUGGAAGUCUUGUCUUCAGCGAUAGACCGUCAGGCCCGAGGAUUCAGCAACAGGGUCUCAAACUUCCACGCAGCAGCCCAUGCUCACGUUAUUGGGCCCCCGAGGCUCGAUUAAUAGAGCACCAACAUGUGCCAUGUUACGUUUUUAAAAUAAAGUGGUGACCCUGCUCCUUCAGCUGGGCUUCCUUUCAGAGGAAUCUAGGUACCCCCGAUAUGACAGGCGUCUCUUCAUUGUUCAGUUUCUGGGGCACGUUCUAUCAUCUUCACACACCUCAUCAACCCCCUUCCCAUAAAAGAGAAAAUGGAUGAAUAAGGAGGUGCUGAAACCCAAAAAGGCGACAAUAUUGUUUACGUUCAGGCUUAAAAACAAUCUGAAUCAAUUCUGUUCUCCGUAGUAUUGAGGAGAGCCAUGUUGUGAUUAAGUGCAAAAGAUUUCCUUGCAAGAUACAUAGACUCUUGCAUCCGAUUUACUUGCAGGUUGUUUUUGUUCUAAUAUUGUCAUUCCCUGUACACAUCCUUUACUGAUGACUGGGAAUUGGAGAGGAGGCCCUUAAAUGUCAGGAGAGUAAGUCAGCCUUAGCUUAAAAAUCAAGCAGAAAAGUCUCAUGUUCAUUGGCACACUUGUAACUACAUUCCAGUCUCCCAGUCUGCAUUAUUUCUAGAAGCUCUGCAUAUCUAACUGCCUACCACAUGACAAAAGUCAUUGUCAUUGAUCCUGCUUCACCAAAUAAAAAGUAAAAAUAUUGAGGGCCACCUCUCACCAGUUCACCCAGGGAGACUGGUAAGCAAGGAGUGCCCGGUCCCUAGUGAGAUUUAUGUUGAACAUUUGUGAAGAGUAGAUAUAAGAAACUUUUAGCCUUCCCAAUAUGUCUUUAUAAAAUGUGCCAAAUUUAAGAAUAAGUCUCUAAUGUUGAGACUCCGUAAGCCAAAGUGGGGGGGGCGGUGGGGAGGCGGGGAAGAACACACUGUUUUCCUACUGUUGAGAUCAUUAGUUUCCAUGAAAAGUUCAGGGGAAAUAAAUACUGAACUCUGAAUGAAAUAGCAAGUUAUAUAAAUCUUGAAAAAUAAAUAUUACCUAGGUUAACACUAGACUUAACCACAAGAGAUUUCAAUCAUGAAACCUGACAUAACCUAGUUGACAAGUAUAGCUUAAGCAAGUAAGACCUCAUUGCUGAUGGAGAAGACCCCUUUUCCUUUGCUUGUCUGUUUUGCAAAAUUCAUUUUUCCUUCAUGAGAGUAAAAACAAUUUAGGGGUUAUUGCAGAUGUCCAAAUGCAGCCAGCAAUUUUAAAGUCAUUGAUGAUACCGUCAGUUAUCACACUCCUACACCAGCAAUGAAAAUACUGUAUACAUAGUAUUACAUAUAUCCACUCUUCUAAAGGCAAGUCUGAGUUUUUAAAGAAUCAUGUUGUUUAAAAAAAAAAAAGUUGCAAAUGUAUCCAUUAAUUAUAAUUAUAUGCACUUAAAAACAUAGAAAAAGAAUAUUUGAAAAAGAUUGCAACUAUUCUGUUAAGAUACUGGUUUUACGUAUGAUUUUCUCCAUUGUAUUCUGUUGCAUUAUAUUUACAAUUAAAUAAAAAUUAUAAAGGAACUGGUGCCUGAAAAAGUUAAGGUCAAAUUUCAAAUAGGUAGACUCGGUAGUAUCAAGAUGAACACACAGACCGGCCCAUCUGAAGGCAAUCGGCAGAAACAGUAUGCAGCCUGUUCUAUGUAUGUGUGUAUGUGUGUGUACACGUACAACAGGGAAGGAUUUCAUUCCAGAGAGUCUAAAAAGAAUAUUUCAUUUUCAAAGAGUAGUUACCCUUUGAUCAGAGAUUCCAAAGUGAUGAUUUCCCUUUUACAAAUCCAUAUAAAUUAAUAUUUUAGAAAUUAGAAUUAAUAAAUUACUAACAAAAUUUACUCCUGCAGAUUUACAGGACCACUCCUAAGAUCCACUCGUAUUGCAAUGUGGAAGUUACUUGUAUUUGUUCAACCAUGUGUUGACUUUUCUAUUAUUGAAACCAUUUCACACCUGUUAUACACACACGCAUGCACACACACACACACACACACACACAUACACCCCUAGCUCUGUUUUAAGUGAAACUGAAGUGCUACAGGAAAAAAAUAAAAGCUGGU